GUUCAUGUAGCUUAACUACUAAAGCAAAGCACUGAAAAUGCUUAGAUGAGUUGUCAUGACUCCAUAAACA
rnacentral:tRNA from 2 species